CUACGGGGUGCUCCAGUGGGGAAUAUUGCACAAUGGGCGCAAGCCUGAUGCAGCCAUGCCGCGUGUAUGAAGAAGGCCUUCGGGUUGUAAAGUACUUUCAGCGGGGAGGAAGGGAGUAAAGUUAAUACCUUUGCUCAUUGAUGUUACCCGCAGAAGAAGCACCGGCUAACUCCGUGCCAGCAGCCGCGGUAAUACGGAGGGUGCAAGCGGUAAUCGCAAUUACUGGGCGUAAAGCGCACGCAGGCGGUUUGUUAAGUCAGAUGUGAAAUCCCCGGGCUCAACCUGGGAACUGCAUCUGAUACUGGCAAGCUUGAGUCUCGUAGAGGGGGGUAGAAUUCCAGGUGUAGCGGUGAAAUGCGUAGAGAUCUGGAGGAAUACCGGUGGCGAAGGCGGCCCCCUGAACGAAGACUGACGCUCAGGUGCGAAAGCGUGGGGAGCAAACAGGAUUAGAUACCCCGGUAGUC
rnacentral:rRNA from 1 species